CAAUAGCGUAUAUUUAAGUUGUUGCAGUUAAAAAGCUCGUAGUUGGAUUUCGGAUGGGACUUGCCGGUCCGUCGUUUCGAUGUGCACCGGCCAGUCCUAUCUUGUUGUCGGGGACUAGCUCCUGGGCUUCACUGUCCGGGACUAGGAGCUGACGAGGUUACUUUGAGUAAAUUAGAGUGUUCAAAGCAAGCCUACGCUCUGAAUACAUUAGCAUGGAAUAACACGAUAGGACUCUGGCUUAUCUUGUUGGUCUGUGAGACCAGAGUAAUGAUUAAGAGGGACAGUCGGGGGCAUUCGUAUUUCAUUGUCAGAGGUGAAAUUCUUGGAUUUAUGAAAGACGAACUUCUGCGAAAGCAUUUGUCAAGGAUGUUUUCAUUAA
rnacentral:rRNA from 1 species